rnacentral:rRNA from 1 species
AUUGAACGCUGGCGGCAGGCCUAACACAUGCAAGUCGAACGAGUGGCGGACGGGUGAGUAAUGUCUGGGAAACUGCCUGAUGGAGGGGGAUAACUACUGGAAACGGUAGCUAAUACCGCAUACCAUCAGAUGUGCCCAGAUUGGCUUAGCUAGUUGGUGGGGUAACGGCUCACCAAGGCGACGAUCCCUAGCUGGUCUGAGAGGAUGACCAGCCACACGGGAACGGGGACACGGUCCAGACUCCUACGGGAGGCGGAAGUGGGGAAUAUUGGACAAUGGGCGCAAGCCUGAUGCAGCCAUGCGGGGUGUAGGAAGAAGGUCUUCGGGUUGUAAAGUACUUUCAGCGGGGAGGCGUUACCCGCAGAAGAAGCACCGACUAACUCCGUGCCAGCAGCCGCGGUAAUAC